rnacentral:rRNA from 1 species
AUACAGAGGGUGCAAGCGUUAAUCGGAUUUACUGGGCGUAAAGCGCGCGUAGGUGGCUAAUUAAGUCAAAUGUGAAAUCCCCGAGCUUAACUUGGGAAUUGCAUUCGAUACUGGUUAGCUAGAGUAUGGGAGAGGAUGGUAGAAUUCCAGGUGUAGCGGUGAAAUGCGUAGAGAUCUGGAGGAAUGCCGAUGGCGAAGGCAGCCAUCUGGCCUAAUACUGACACUGAGGUGCGAAAGCAUGGGGAGCAAACAGGAUUAGAUACCCUGGUAGUCCAUGCCGUAAACGAUGUCUACUAGCCGUUGGGGCCCUUGAGGCUUUAGUGGCGCAGCUAACGCGAUAAGUAGACCGCCUGGGGAGUACGGUCGCAAGACUAAAACUCAAAUGAAUUGGCGGGG